rfam:Phormidium ambiguum IAM M-71 NIES-2119_Scaffold_23, whole genome shotgun sequence.
GGGCGGGUGGCGAAACUGGUAGACGCACUAGACUCAAAAUCUAGCUCCCGCGAGGGAAUGAGAGUUCGAUUCUCUCCCCGCCCA